rnacentral:tRNA from 1 species
GGAAUUUAGCUCAGUGGUAAGAGCACGUGCCUAGCAAGCGCAAGGCCCUGGGUUCGGUCCCCAGCUCCG